UGCGUAGGCGGAAUAUUAAGUCAGUGGUGAAAUCCUGCGGCUCAACCGUAGAACUGCCAUUGAUACUGAUAUUCUUGAAUGUAGUUGAGGUAGGCGGAAUGCGUAAUGUAGCGGUGAAAUGCUUAGAUAUUACACAGAACACCGAUUGCGAAGGCAGCUUACUAAACUAUGAUUGACGCUGAUGCACGAAAGCGUGGGGAGCGAACAGGAUUAGAUACCCUGGUAGUCC
rnacentral:rRNA from 1 species